rnacentral:rRNA from 1 species
UACGGGGGGGGCAAGCGUUGUUCGGAAUUACUGGGCGUAAAGGGCUCGUAGGCGGCCAACUAAGUCAGACGUGAAAUCCCCAGGCUCAACCUGGGAACUGCGUCUGAUACUGGAUGGCUUGAAUCCGGGAGAGGGAUGCAGAAUUCCAGGUGUAGCGGUGAAAUGCGCAGAUAUCAGGAGGAACACCGGUGGCGAAGGCGGGUCUCUGGGCCGAUAUUGACGCUGAGGAGCGAAAGCGUGGGGAGCGAACAGG